rnacentral:misc_RNA from 1 species
ACUUUGACGACAUGAAGACAUAUGGAAAAAUCGUAACCGACGUGAAUCUGUCUGACGCAGUUUCUGACGAUGUGAUAGAAAAAAUUAAGAAGGAUGUACACGAACAUGUUUUGUUGAUAUUCAAAAACCAAGGUAUUGUGAGUGGGGAGAGACAUGUGGAGAUCAGCAAGUGGUUUGGUGACUUGGAAUCUACUUUUUAUAAACAUCCCAGAUCACCACAUCCCGAUGUAUUCCGUGUGUCAAAUAAUGAAGAGGAGGGGUGUACAAAUGUAGGACGCACUGGGUGGCAUAUAGAUGGCAGUUUUAUGACUGAACCUUUUAGGUUUUCACUAUAUCACAUGGUCGCUGUACCUAAAAGUGGUGACACAGCUUUUGUGCCAUUGACAAAAUUGAUUGAGAGUCUUCAGCCAGAUGUUAGAGCCAGAUGGGAGAGAUUAUAUAUGGUCAGCGAUCGACGUCUGAAACUUAAACACCCCUUAAUAUAUUCACAUCCUGUCACCAAAAAGCCAACUCUCUGCUUUCACUUGGGAAUGACAGAUGCAUUUGCGUGGGAUGCUGGAACAGAUAAGGAAAGAAUAACUGAAUGGCCAGAAACAAAACACAUUUUGACAGAAAUCCAUCAGGAAAUUGAGAAAAAUAAUCGUGAACUUGUUUAUUCACAUAAGCAGGAAUGUAUAUAUCAGUAAGCACUGAAAUGAACGUGGCGUUUGUUUGUGAUUUCAGUGGGAGCAGGGAGACUUCAUCAUCUCUGACAACCUGGCAGUAGGUCACGAGGCGACACCAGAAACUCAGCUCCCCGUCUCUCAAGUUGGCUUGCGUAUUUUACACCGCACCACCGUAAAAGGAACAGAAAAACCCUCCAAAUCAUAAUCUCAGCUUAUUUUAUUCUUUGAUGACCUGAAACAUUCUUUAUUGAUGUAAAAUUUUAUGGAAAAGAAAGAAUAAUACUUUGUAAAACAUGAAUUUUCUAAUUCCCAAGUUUAUGUGCGGGAUCUGAGAAUUUUAGGAUGAGCAAGGUGUUGUAGAUCUAUGUAAAUCAAACUUCUUUUAAUAUUUAUGGGUAUAUGGGCACUAAGCUAAUGAUUUGUGGUUUAAUUUCAUUUGUUUUAAAUAAUGUUACUGGUAGUCUUGCUGGAAUUCAGUCCUUGCUCCUGUGAUUGAACAUAUAUAGGUAUAAUGUUUAACAGUAAAUACAUGUAACAUGUAAAUGUAGUGGUUUGUUGGUCUGUCUGCAAUUUCUAUGUACUACAUGUAUUACUCAAAGACUUAACAAAAAUGGACUGAAUUCAUACUGGUGACAUUAUUUCAUAAUGCUAGUGAACCAUCAAGGAUGAUUACUAGUAGUUAUAUUGUUCAAUGUGGCUGCACAAAGUGCAGUUAUACAGCUUGCAAUUGUUAAUGUCCAACUUUCACCAAACUAAUAAAGUAUUACUAUUUUUUCACUUAAUGGUGCUAAGAUUGAAAAUGUUACGGGUGUAUCUGGUAUAUACAGUGCAAGUAUGAAUUAAUUAGUGGUAUUUGAAGUUAUUCCCAUUAAUAAUGCUUCUUUACCUAGUAUUACUUUUGUCCAUACUGGUAUUACGUCACUGGCCCAUAAUUCCAAUUUCUGCUUUUAAUAAAAUUUCCUUUUGUUGUAAUUGAAUCAUAUUACUAUUUAUAAUACAUUUACUGUUUUGAAAAUUGGUUUUUGUGAUGUAUUGCAGUAAUAAAUGUUAACAGCAACC